CAAUGUUGAUUUCAAGAAAGAAUUGAGGUCACUUAAUAGAGAAUUGCAGUUGCACAUUUUGGAGCUUUCUGAUGUUCUUAUUGAGAGGCCGUCACAAUAUGCUCGGAGAGUGGAAGACAUAUCCCUGAUAUUUAAGAAUUUGCAUCACCUUCUCAAUUCAUUGAGACCCCAUCAAGCUCGAGCAACAUUGAUUCAUAUUCUAGAGCUUCAGAUACAACGCCGCAAACAAGCAGUGGAAGAUAUUAAAAGGAGAAGAGAAGAAGCACAGAAACUUCUCAAGGAGGCUCUUGGAACUUUGGAUGGCCAGUAGGGCAUAAAUUGUUGGCCAAGUUUUA
rnacentral:misc_RNA from 1 species